AGAGUUUGAUCCUGGCUCAGGAUGAACGCCGGCGGUGUGCCUAAUACAUGCAAGUCGAGCGCACUGGCCCAACUGAUAUGACGUGCUUGCACUGAAUUGACGUUGGAUUACCAGUGAGCGGCGGACGGGUGAGUAACACGUGGGCAACCUGCCCUGAAGCGGGGGAUAACAUCUGGAAACAGGUGCUAAUACCGCAUAACAACGAAAACCACAUGGUUUUCGUUUCAAAGAUGGUUUCGGCUAUCACUUCAGGAUGGGCCCGCGGUGCAUUAGCUAGUUGGUAAGGUAACGGCUUACCAAGGCAAUGAUGCAUAGCCGAGUUGAGAGACUGAUCGGCCACAAUGGAACUGAGACACGGUCCAUACUCCUACGGGAGGCAGCAGUAGGGAAUCUUCCACAAUGGGCGCAAGCCUGAUGGAGCAACACCGCGUGAGUGAAGAAGGGUUUCGGCUCGUAAAGCUCUGUUGUUGGAGAAGAACGUGCGUGAGAGUAACUGUUCACGCAGUGACGGUAUCCAACCAGAAAGUCACGGCUAACUACGUGCCAGCAGCCGCGGUAAUACGUAGGUGGCAAGCGUUAUCCGGAUUUAUUGGGCGUAAAGCGAGCGCAGGCGGUUGCUUAGGUCUGAUGUGAAAGCCUUCGGCUUAACCGAAGAAGGGCAUCGGAAACCGGGCGACUUGAGUGCAGAAGAGGACAGUGGAACUCCAUGUGUAGCGGUGAAAUGCGUAGAUAUUAGGAAGAACACCAGUGGCGAAGGCGGCUCUCUGGUCUGUAACUGACGCUGAGGCUCGAAAGCGUGGGUAGCGAACAGGAUUAGAUACCCUGGUAGUCCACGCCGUAAACGAUGAGUGCUAAGUGUUGGAGGGUUUCCGCCCUUCAGUGCCGGAGCUAACGCAUUAAGCACUCCGCCUGGGGAGUACGACCGCAAGGUUGAAACUCAAAGGAAUUGACGGGGGCCCGCACAAGCGGUGGAGCAUGUGGUUUAAUUCGAAGCAACGCGAAGAACCUUACCA
rnacentral:rRNA from 1 species